UUGAGGGCAAUGGUGUGUGUAUAGCUACCAUUGGAUUGCAAAGCACAACAUUGCAGUGAUGAGAUUACAUAUAUAUCAUCACUAUAAAAACACAGGUUAAUUAGGACUAAGAAGAGCAAGCAAGUCCAUUAUUCAAAUCAUAUAUGGCAACUUCUCUUCAUUAUUUCUGCAGUUUAAGUUGUAAAUCGUCUUUCAAGCAUCCUAAGAUAUGGAAAUGUCCUCGAGUGAGAUCCCAAAGCUUUCAUGAUGAAGAUCGAUUUUGGUGGUAGAGAAGACAUUUUCCUGAAGGAUUUUAUCGAGAUGGAGAUGAGGAACAAAGCCAAAAUCAGAAGGAAAACUUAGCUGGUGUAAGGGAGAGAGAGUGAGAGUUAGUGGGGUGCAUUGUUUUUAAUCUCUUGAUGGGUCUCGGGUUGUAUUGGUUAGUGGUGGUUUUGUGCUGGGUGUGUCGUAGUGGUGUGUUUGGUUUGUAAGGGUUUUUUUUUUAUUCUAGAGGGUUGAUGGUUUUUUUUUUUAUUGUUAGCAGUGGUUGAUAUUUGGUGUUUGUCCUGCUUGGGUGGAGGUCCUGUUUGGGUGUCUGUCCUGUUUGGGUUUGCAGUGGUUGGGUUGGUGUGUUAGGGGAUUUGGGUUUGGUGUUUGGUGUGAAGUUCUUCUUAAUCCUUUUUAUUUUUUUGUUUAAUCUUUUAUAUCGUGAAGCCGAGGGGUUCGUUAGAUGGUUGCGAGUAGCAGUAGUAGGGAUAGUCUGUACUAUCUCGAAUCUCUCUCGAUUUCUGUCAUCUUUCUGUACCUUUAAUUUCAUGUUUUUUAAUGAAAUUUUUCUUUGCUGAUAAAAAAAA